UACGAAGGGGGCUAGCGUUGCUCGGAAUCACUGGGCGUAAAGCGCACGUAGGCGGGUCGUUAAGUCAGGGGUGAAAUCCUGGAGCUCAACUCCAGAACUGCCCUUGAUACUGGCGAUCUCGAGUUCGGGAGAGGUGAGUGGAACUGCGAGUGUAGAGGUGAAAUUCGUAGAUAUUCGCAAGAACACCAGUGGCGAAGGCGAGUCUCUGGACGACUCCUGACACUGAGGCACGAAAGCUGGGGGAGCAAACAGG
rnacentral:rRNA from 1 species